rnacentral:rRNA from 1 species
AUUGAACGCUGGCGGAAUGCUUUACACAUGCAAGUCGAACGGCAGUACGGACUUCGGUCUGGUGGCGAGUGGCGAACGGGUGAGUAAUGUAUCGGAACGUGCCCAGUCGUGGGGGAUAACGUAGGGUAAAUUACGCUAAUACCGCAUACGAUCUAUGGAUGAAAGCGGGGGAUCGCAAGACCUCGCGCGAUUGGAGCGGCCGAUAUCAGAUUAGGUAGUUGGUGGGGUAAGGGCCCACCAAGCCAACGAUCUGUAGCUGGUCUGAGAGGACGACCAGCCACACUGGAACUGAGACACGGUCCAGACUCCUACGGGAGGCAGCAGUGGGGAAUUUUGGACAAUGGGCGAAAGCCUGAUCCAGCCAUUCCGCGUGCAGGAUGAAGGCCCUCGGGUUGUAAACUGCUUUUGUACAGAACGAAAAGGUUUCUACUAAUACUAGGAGCUCAUGACGGUACUGUAAGAAUAAGCACCGGCUAACUACGUGCCAGCCGCCGCCGUAA